CAUUUCAGAUUCUUUGGCCCGAC
rnacentral:siRNA from 1 species